rnacentral:rRNA from 1 species
CCUACGGGUGGCUGCAGUGGGGGAUAUUGCACAAUGGGCGAAACCCUGAUGCAGCGACGCCGCGUGAGUGAUGAAGUCCUUCGGUAUGUACAGCUCUAUCAGCAGGGAAGAAAAUGCCAGUACCUGACCACCCCUCCCCUGCCAAUACCGUCCCAGCAGCCGCGGUCCUACGGAGGGGGCAAGCGUGCUCCGGAUUUACUGGGUGUAAAGGUAGCGUAUGCGGUUUUGUAAGUCUGUAGUGAAAGCCCCGGGUCAAACCCGGGGACUGCUUUGGAAACUGUGAAACUGGAGUACAGGAGAGGAAGGCGGAAUUCGUGGUGUAGCGGUGAAAUGCGUAGAUAUCAGGAGGAACACCGGCGGCGAAGGCGGCCUGCUGGACUGAAACUGACGUUGAGGAUCGAAAGCGUGGGGAGCAAACAGGAUUAGAUACCCCAGUAGUC